rnacentral:rRNA from 1 species
UACGAAGGGGGCUAGCGUUGCUCGGAAUCACUGGGCGUAAAGGGUGCGUAGGCGGGCAGGUAAGUCAGUGGUGAAAUCUCCGGGCUUAACCCGGAAACUGCCGUUGAUACUAUCUGUCUUGAAUAUCGUGGAGGUAAGCGGAAUAUGUCAUGUAGCGGUGAAAUGCUUAGAUAUGACAUAGAACACCCAUUGCGAAGGCAGCUUACUACACGAUCAUUGACGCUGAGGCACGAAAGCGUGGGGAGCAAACAGG